rnacentral:lncRNA from 1 species
UUGCGCUUUAAUCAGGUGAGACAGCCGGCGAGACGUGAAUUUUUUCCUUUUCUCUUUACAGGCAGGCAACAGAAGCACAAAUUGUGUGGCUUGCUGAGUUCGCAUAGGAAUGGCCUUGCUAGCGAUGGAGGGAAAAUCCAGAUCUCCCAAGUACCAGACCAGCAUCUCCAUCAAAGAUCAUCCUUCUGCCUGGUUUCUGCUCUGGUUCCUGAAUGAUGCUCAACCCUUCUGUUCCUGAAGCGGAGCCUGUGCUUAGGACAACGCAUACAGCAGCUGAUGGAGAAUGCGCCGGCAUUUUGGAGGUGCUCAGACUGAGCAAAUGAAGAGGGGAGGGAGAUGUUUCUACUAGAGCAGCGGAGCAGAGGAAAAUGUGCAGUCAACAGUUGUUUGGAGGGCUUUCCGUCUGCUGCUGCUUCAUUAAGAGGCUUCCAUAUUACACGUGUGGGACUGCAACAGCUGAAAGCAGGGCUGGGGGAUUCCUCGUGUGCAUCCAUCAUCUCUAAAUGCCUCUCUGCAUCCUGGUCUGAAUUCAGCAGCAAGUACAAGCAGCCUGGCUCACCGACAGCAGAUAAAGAAGAGCCAGCAUCCAAACUGGAUCCAUUUCUUUGAAGCUUAAAAAAUGGUCCGCUG